AGUGAACGCUGGCGGUAGGCCUAACACAUGCAAGUCGAACGGCAGCACAGUAAGAGCUUGCUCUUACGGGUGGCGAGUGGCGGACGGGUGAGGAAUACAUCGGAAUCUACUUUUUCGUGGGGGAUAACGUAGGGAAACUUACGCUAAUACCGCAUACGACCUACGGGUGAAAGCAGGGGAUCUUCGGACCUUGCGCGAUUGAAUGAGCCGAUGUCGGAUUAGCUAGUUGGCGGGGUAAAGGCCCACCAAGGCGACGAUCCGUAGCUGGUCUGAGAGGAUGAUCAGGCACAUUGGAACUGAGAAACGGUCCAGACUACUACGGGAGGCAGCAGGGGGGAAUAUGGGAAAAUGGGCGAAAGCCUGAUCCAGCCAUCCCGCGUGGGUGAAGAAGGUCUUCGGAUUGUAAAGCCCUUUUGGUGGGGAAGAAAGGAAGCAGGUUAAUACCCCGCUGUUUUGACGGUACCAAAAGAAUAAGCACCGGCUAACUUCGUG
rnacentral:rRNA from 1 species